AUUGAACGCUGGCGGCAGGCCUAACACAUGCAAGUCGAACGGUAACAGGAAGCAGCUUGCUGCUUUGCUGACGAGUGGCGGACGGGUGAGUAAUGUCUGGGAAACUGCCUGAUGGAGGGGGAUAACUACUGGAAACGGUAGCUAAUACCGCAUAACGUCGCAAGACCAAAGAGGGGGACCUUCGGGCCUCUUCCCAUCGGAUGUGCCCAGAUGGGAUUAGCUAGUAGGUGGGGUAACGGCUCACCUAGGCGACGAUCCCUAGCUGGUCUGAGAGGAUGACCAGCCACACUGGAACUGAGACACGGUCCAGACUCCUACGGGAGGCAGCAGUGGGGAAUAUUGCACAAUGGGCGCAAGCCUGAUGCAGCCAUGCCGCGUGUAUGAAGAAGGCCUUCGGGUUGUAAAGUACUUUCAGCGGGGAGGAAGGGAGUAAAGUUAAUACCUUUGCUCAUUGACGUUACCCGCAGAAGAAGCACCGGCUAACUCCGUG
rnacentral:rRNA from 1 species